AGCGAACGCUGGCGGCAGGCUUAACACAUGCAAGUCGAGCGGGCAUCUCCGGGUGUGAGCGGCAGGGGGGUGAGAAACACGGGGGCACGUACCUAUGGGCUGGGAACCACAGUGGGACACGGGCGAUAAUACCAGGUGCGCCCUUGGGGGGAAAGGUUUACUGCCGAAGGAGCGGCCCGCUUUUGUUGCGCGGGUGGUUGGGGUAACGGCCUACCAAGGCGACGAUCAGUAGCUGGUCUGAGAGGAUGAUCAGCCACACUGGGACUGAGACACGGCCCAGACUCCUACGGGAGGCAGCAGUGGGGAAUCUUGCGCAAUGGGCGCAAGCCUGACGCAGCCAUGCCGCGUGAGUGAUGAAGGUCUUAGGGUUGUAAAGCUCUUUCGUCCGGGACGAUAAUGACGGUACCCGGAGAAUAAGCCCCGGCUAACUUCGUG
rnacentral:rRNA from 1 species